AUGUCAUAUAGGUUCCAAACUCUUGAAAAAGCAGCUACUUCAAAGAAGUACAAAAAGUAAAAAAGAGGCAUAUACAAAUUAUCUGAAAUUCUAUGCGAAAUGUGGAAAUAAUUCUUAAAGAAUUCUUAAUUUUUCUAAAAGGAUGUUGGUUUUUUUAUGAAUUGAGAAGAAAUCAUAGGCAUGGUAGAGAGUGGGAAACCACCCUUUACAGAAAAUUCAUAUCUAUGAUGUCUCAUUCUUCCUUUUUAAGCCAAACUAUGGUGAGGAUUCUGCCAUAAGCAUCAUCAUUAUAGCCUUAGUUGACGGAUGGAAACUUCUCCACAGGUAGGUAUUUGGACAAAUUGAGCAACUUUCAACAAACAAACUACAACAAUAAAACUAGUGAAAUCCCACAAACCUACGAAAAGAGGGAUGUUUAGUAUAAUAUUGUUGAAAGCAAGAAACAAUAGUAGUACUUAUGAAAACAGUAGUAUAAGUCUGUAAUUAUUUCAUUUAACUUUUAUCCAAUGAUUAUAAAGAAAUUAGUGAACUCUAUAUUUGUUUUAUGUGUUAUAAUUUAAUUUUGAUACAGGUAUCUAAUCAACCACAAUCUAUAACAGAGGAUUGGGAAAAGUGCACAAGGACAAUCUGGCUCAAUCUAAUGAGAAGUAAACUAUUCAAUUUUACAUAGGAUGAGAAGGGCGAGACGUCGACAACAUGUUAAAAUAAUCGAUUAUUGAAUUUACAUAAAAUCUUAUUUGUUAAGUUAUGGACAUAAAGUACAUGAAUGGGAAUUUACCUUAUAUUGGAUUUGUUUUUGUUCUUGAGAACAAACAUUUGCAGAUUUGAAAGUAUAUCAGAUGCAUAACCGUUACGUUUUAACUGAAGGUGGAGACGUUUAUAGUUUUGAAAUAUGAAUGUUUACAAUAAGCAUAUGAACUAAAAAUAUCAAAAUCAUAUAAAUAGAUCAUCAUAUUACAGAAUGUAUAGAUUGAAGAACAAAUAUUUGACCAAUUAGAGUUGUUAAAUAAUACGACUACUGGCAAUAAGCACGUGAACUUGGACAAAACAAGUAUGUUAUUUUGGAAAAGAGAAUUUAUCGGUGUAUGUAGACCAGGAGAUUAGAUUUUACAACAAAUAACUACAAAACAGAAGAAUUAUUAGUGAAUAUGAUGUUUUUUUAAGGCACAGAAAGUUUGAGUAAAGAGUAAUAACGGGGCAUACCUAUUAGUUUCAAAAAUAGUUGGAGAUUUGGAGGAAUGAACCGUAGGUCGAGACAGUUGCAGUUUUGAAAUUUUGAUGUUUAAAAUUACCACACGAACUUAAAAUACCAAAAUCAUAUAAAUAUAUCAUUAUAUUGCAGAGUGUAUAGAUUGAAGAACAAACAUGUGACCAAUUGGACUUGUCAAAUUAAACGACUGGUGGCAAUAAACACAUGAACUCAGACAAAGAAAGUAAGUUAUUUUUGGAAGAGAACUUAUCAGUUUAUGCAGAGCAGGAGAUUAAAUUUAACAACACACAACUACAAAAUAAAAUAAUUAUUAGUGAAUAUGAUGUUUUGGUUUGAGGCACAAAAAAUUUGGGUAAAGAGAAAUAACAAGCAUACCUAUUUGUUUCAGAAAAAGUUGGAGAUUUGGAGGAAAAUUGUCAUCAUCAUUGGUGUUUGUUAAACAGAGCUAAGCGUAUACUUGCGUCUAUUCUCGAUGGUGU
rnacentral:lncRNA from 1 species